UACGAAGGGGGCUAGCGUUGCUCGGAAUUACUGGGCGUAAAGGGCGCGUAGGCGGCUUGAUAAGCGUGCGGUGAAAGCCCGGGGCUCAACCCCGGGUCGGCCGUGCGAACUGUCGAGCUGGAGCACUGUAGAGGCAGGUGGAAUUCCGGGUGUAGCGGUGGAAUGCGUAGAGAUCCGGAAGAACACCGGUGGCGAAGGCGGCCUGCUGGGCAGUGGCUGACGCUGAGGCGCGACAGCGGUGGGGAGCAAACAGG
rnacentral:rRNA from 1 species